rnacentral:rRNA from 1 species
GACGAGCGCUGGCGGCGUGCUUAACACAUGCCAGUCGAACGGAAAGGCCCUGCUUUUGUGGGGUGCUCGAGUGGCGAACGGGUGAGUAACACGUGAGUAACCUGCCCUUGACUUUGGGAUAACUUCAGGAAACUGGGGCUAAUACCGGAUAGGAGCUCCUGCUGCAUGGUGGGGGUUGGAAAGUUUCGGCGGUUGGGGAUGGACUCGCGGCUUAUCAGCUUGUUGGUGGGGAAGUGGCUUACCAAGGCUUUGACGGGUAGCCGGCCUGAGAGGGUGACCGGCCACAUUGGGACUGAGAUACGGCCCAGACUCCUACGGGAGGCAGCAGUGGGGAAUAUUGCACAAUGGGCGGAAGCCUGAUGCAGCAACGCCGCGUGCGGGAUGACGGCCUUCGGGUUGUAAACCGCUUUCGCCUGUGACGAAGCGUGAGUGACGGUAAUGGGUAAAGAAGCACCGGCUAACUACGUG